UCGUGCAUAUGUCUUAUGUGACUUUGUGUGCAACGAAAACCAGUGGUCUAAGCAUUAAUCAUUUUUUUCAUCUCUUUUUCCUAUGGUGCAGUACUGUUACAUUCUAUUUACUUUAUUAUUUGUAUCCCCGUCUUUAACGUCGUGCCGCGUGAGUCUAUCUUCCUCAGAAUUCAUUUACAUCUCGUGCAAUGGAAUCCAUCAUGAAUCAAGUGAGCUCCAAGAUCCGCACGUUUUCUACAUCUAAGGUGGUGACUUCCAAGCCCGUGUUCUGGCCUUCAAUGGCUGGUGCCUAUGCCAUUUAUGGCUAUUGGGUGUAUUUCCAGAUGGAAUGGCGUGCGUUAGAGAAAAAGAAAACUUGAUGUGUUGUCUCUUGUUCUAGGUCUUGUUCUAAAGGAAGCUUAAUGUGUUGUCUCUUGUUCUAGGUCGUGUCCUAAAGGAAGCUUGAUGUGUUGUCUCUUUUUCUAGUUCUUGUUCUCUCUUUGUUCUCUCUGUAUUGUGUUUGACUUCUGUGGUUAAAAGAGUGACCUUUAAUC